GGAAUUACUGUUUAUUAAAUAAUUCAUUUAAAUUACUUUACUUUCAAUCUUUGCUUUUUGUUUCUGUACUGCGCCAGUACUCCUGUGAACCAUGUCUCAGUGGAGUAAUGAUGGCACCACAGUCCGGCCUGCAUGGCUGUUGGCAUGCGUGCUCCCUCCUCGUGCAGCCAUGGAGAAUGGCUUCAUGAAAUUCAGCCACCUCUUUCUCCAGACUGUCAGUUCCAUCUUCUCAACUCUGAGGGUCUUCCAGAGUCCGUGCCACACCACAGCCUGGAAACUCUCCCCAAGCAGUAACCUGAGGCAACAGUAGCCCUCAUUGUUUCACGUCUCUCAGAUGUCACUGUCCUUCAUUGUUUGAUGUGCGCUGUCUUGCAAUCCAUCCUUCCAGAUAAAUCGUCCAUUUUUACCUGUGAUAAGCCAUGUCCAAUUGCCAUAAGUUUUUCCACAACAUUUUGUUUCAUUCUUCCUGCAAUUACGCAAUCAUUACUGUACCACCGCCUAUAUGGAUAUACUUGUCAAUGUGAAGCUGAGUAAGGAACAACGUUCACCAAACUCACAGACAAAGAUGGACAAGCGAGCAGGCCUUUGUAUCACUAAAGGGAAGCUCAGAUUGGGUUUCAUAUAAAUCAUCAGUGAAGUCUUCUCAACCAGGUCAAUCACGAGAACUUAGAAGAUGAUUCCUCCCCAGCUGAUCCUCAGGUGAGACCUCAGCCUUGGCCAUCAUCUACAUCUGAAUUCCUGACUCAGAGAAACUGGAACGCUAAAGCCCAUUCUUCUUCUCAAGUAUUCAAAAACAAAGUUGAUCCAAGUAACAAGUGGACAGCAUAAAAGAUUGUAUGGAAACUAUAAUGCAUCUACAUCUGCAGUAACUAAUCAUAAAAUGAUUUGUAUGAUCAUUCUUCACAUGAUUAGAAUGACUAUGGGAAAGAAGAAAAAGAAGUGCAACUUUCUUGAUUUAAAAAUUGUAUCCGUGCAAGUGUGGUGGCACACACCUGUAGUCAGUCCCAGCUGCUAGGGUGGGUGGGUAGGAUGAACAUGUGGUACCAGG
rnacentral:lncRNA from 1 species